rnacentral:rRNA from 1 species
AUUGAACGCUGGCGGCAUGCCUUACACAUGCAAGUCGAACGGCAGCACGGGUGCUUGCACCUGGUGGCGAGUGGCGAACGGGUGAGUAAUAUAUCGGAACGUGCCUUAUUGUGGGGGAUAACGCAGCGAAAGCUGUGCUAAUACCCCAUAAUCCCUAAGGGGGAAAGCGGGGGACCGUAAGGCCUCACGCAAUUAGAACGGCCGAUACCUGAUUAGCUAGUUGGUGAGGUAAAGGCCCACCAAGGCAACGAUCAGUAGCUGGUCUGAGAGCACGAUCAGCCACGCUGGGGCUGAGACACGGCCCAGACUGCUACGGUAGGCAGCAGUGGGGAAUUUUGGACAAGAGGGGCAACCCUGAUACAGCAGUGCCGCGUGAGUGAAGAAGGCCUUCGGGUAGUAAAGCUCUUUUGUCAGGGAAGAAACAGCAGCUCUAACACAGUUUGCGAAUGACGGUACCUGAAGAAUAAGCACCGGCUAACUACGUGCCAGCCGCCGCGGUAA